rnacentral:rRNA from 1 species
UACAGAGGUGGCAAGCGUUGUUCGGAAUUACUGGGCGUAAAGCGCGCGUAGGCGGAUCUGCAAGUCGGGGGUGAAAUCCCGAGGCUCAACCUCGGAACUGCCUUCGAUACUGCGGGUCUCGAGUCCGGGAGAGGUGAGUGGAAUUCCUAGUGUAGAGGUGAAAUUCGUAGAUAUUAGGAAGAACACCAGUGGCGAAGGCGGCUCACUGGCCCGGUACUGACGCUGAGGCGCGAAAGCGUGGGGAGCAAACAGGG